AUUCCUUCUCCAGGAGCGUAUAUUAAAGUUGAUGCAGUUAAAAAGCUCGUAGUCUGAGGUUUGCGGGUGCUGGGGUGGUGUGCGUGAGCGCAGUGUCCUGGUGCGUGCAUUUCUGGGGCUGGGUGUCUGGUGCCCUUGAUUGGGUGCUUGGUGCCUGCCCUGCCUUUACUUUGAAAAAAUUAGAGUGUUCAAAGCAAGCGUGUUGCAUGAAUAGUUCAGCAUGGAAUAAUGGAAUAGGACCUUGGUCUUGUUUCGUUGGUUUCCAGGGCCGAGGUAAUGAUGAAUAGGGACAGUUGGGGGCAUUCGUAUUUAGUUGUCAGAGGUGAAAUUCUUGGAUUUACUACAGACGAACAUCUGCGAAAGCAUCUGCCAAGGAUGUUUUCAUUA
rnacentral:rRNA from 1 species